GUGAUGCUGAGUGUGUGUCAGUGAUACGCUGUGUCAGUGAUGUUGUGCUGUGGGGUCUCUUACAGAAUCUGUGUCAAAGCCUCAUAUUACAUCAGUAGCUGAAGGGGGCAGAAGCUGCUCCCUGCAGGGCUCUGUGCAGAAUGGGAGAGAGGUCAUCCUGUCCUGGAGGACAGAGGGACAGAGACUGUCCCACACCAGCAGCCCCAAUCUCAGGACCGUGUCCCUCACUCUGGAGAUAGAGGUGUCCAACUUCACCUAUACCUGUGUGGCUAAAAACCCAAUCAGUGAGGAAAGAACAGCUUUCUACCCCACACAGGUCUGCAGGCCGAAGGGUCAUGGUUCCCAUGAUGCUCUGCUGUAUAUAAUGUUUGUGUUGAGGCUGGUGGAGUUUGUGUUGGUGACCCUGGCUGUCGGACUUUUAAUCCAUCAGUACAGAAAAGGAAGAAUUCUUACUUUGCCCAGCACUGAGAGAAG